rnacentral:siRNA from 1 species
CGACCACGACACAGCCGCUGCCGC